rnacentral:rRNA from 1 species
AUUGAACGCUGGCGGCAUGCCUUACACAUGCAAGUCGAACGGCAGCGGACCUUCGGUGCCGGCGAGUGGCGAACGGGUGAGUAAUAUAUCGGAACGUACCUUUCAGUGGGGGAGUAACGUAGCGAAAGUUAACGCUAAUACCGCAUAUUCUGUGAGCAGGAAAGACAGGGGAGUCGCAAGACCUUGCGCUGAUUGAGCGGCCGAUAUCAGAUUAGCUAGUUGGUGAGGUAAAGGACUCACCAAGGCGACGAUCUGUAGCGGGUCUGAGAGGAUGAUCCGCCACACUGGAACUGAGACACGGUCCAGACUCCUACGGGAGGCAGCAG